CUUUACUUUUUGAAAAAGGUGAAAAUGCGAAAACUGAAAAUUCCAAAUAAAAUAAAAAUUCAGAAAAGUUUAAUUCUUUUUUGAAACGCUUUUCGUCCAUUAUAUUGAUGAUAAUCCUAAUUUUCACAAUCAUUUUUGCUCCGAGCCGUAAUUAUUCGUAGAAAUUGUGAACUUCAGAAGUAUUUCGGCUAAAAUCGUGCAUGCAGUUUUGGAUAUGCUGGAAACAACUGGAAAUUGCAUGAAGUUGUUGAUGAUGGUGACGGCGGUUAUAGCCGCUUUAACUAUCGCCGCUGCCAAAGACGGCGCGGUAGGGGGGAAUGUUCCGGCGAGGGUACUGAACUUGGAAAGAGUGUUGCCUCUGAAUCAUAAGGUGGAGUUGGAGAAGCUUAUAGCUAGAGACCGAGCUAGGCACGCUCAAAUUUUGCAGAAUUUCGCCGGCGGAGUCGUCGAUUUUCCAGUUAUAGGUUCCUCCGACCAAUUUCUCUUCGGCCUUUAUUAUACAAAAGUAAAACUGGGAUCUCCACCAAGAGAAUACGAUGUGCAGAUUGAUACUGGAAGCGAUAUCUUGUGGGUUACAUGUCGUUCCUGCAACAAUUGUCCUCAAACAAGUGGACUUGGGGUUGAGCUCAACUUCUAUGACACUGCGAUCUCAUCAACUUCAUCUCUCAUCUCUUGUUCAGACCCAAUGUGUGCUUCAACUGAGUGCUCUAGUGAAACAAAUCAGUGUGCUUACACCUUUCGUUACGGAGAUGGGAGUGGCACAACUGGCUAUUACGUGUCAGAUUUAUUAUAUUUUGACACAUUCGUCGCAACCUCGCUGAUUGCCAACUCUUCAGCACCAAUUGUUUUUGGGUGCAGUACCUCUCAGUCUGGGGACCUGACCCAGAUGGAUAGAGCAAUUGAUGGGAUUUUUGGGUUUGGUCCACAGGACCUUUCAGUAAUAUCUCAACUGUCUGCACGCGGAAUUUCUCCAAAAGUGUUUUCACAUUGUUUGAAAGGAGAGGGCAAUGGUGGAGGUAUACUAGUUCUUGGUGAGAUUUUGAAUCCGAGCAUCGUUUAUAGUCCCCUUGUUCCGUCACAGGGUCAUUACAAUGUAUAUAUACAGAGCAUUGCCGUCAAUGGGCAAACUUUGCCUGUUGAUCCAGCAGUUUUUGCCAGCUCUGGUGAUCGAGGAACCAUUGUUGAUUCUGGUACAACUUUAGCUUAUCUUACCGCAGAAGCUUAUGAACCCUUUGUCAAUGCUAUAACUGCCGCCGUUUCACCUUCAGCCAGGCUAGUCAUAUCAGGAAGAAAGCCGUGCUAUCUAGUUUCCUCAAGCAUAUCCGAUAUGUUUCCUCCAGUUUCUCUAAACUUUGCUGGUGGUGCAUCCAUGGAUUUAAGACCUUCGGACUACCUUGUGCAUAUGGGCUUUUAUGAAGGUGCUGCUAUGUGGUGCAUUGGCUUUCAAAGAGAUGAUGCAGGCGUAACAAUUUUAGGAGGUUGGUUUCCGGAUAAUGGUUACGUCUUAUACUUCCGUUGCUUCAUUCUACAUUUUAGCUUCUUUAGUGGGUGCUUAUCAUUGUGCGUGAUAUCUGUAUACUUGUGUGCUCGAGUAUCGUCGGUACUUAGAAAACCUUUCAUAUUGAUAUCUUUAUCAUUUGAAAUGUCACGGAAUUUUCAUUUGCGCUGUCAACUACUUUCUCUACUCCUGGAUGAAAAAUUUGCUUCCUUUUAGGCCCAGAUGCAUUUCCUGGCAUUACUAGAUUCUUAGUGCUUUUCGCCGACAAAAAUUUUUCAAAGAUUAAGACGAUUGAUUCUGUGUGUUUUCAGUGAGUGAAGCAGUUGUUGAUAAGCUGAAAGGUAGCAUGUAUAGUAACAGGUAGUUGUUCUCUGAUGUUCAAUGAAAGCAGACAGUGCCAUUCAUGGAUAGUUGAUUAGUGGAAAGAAAGAUUUUAAAGGGAAUCUGGUUACCGUUCCAUUUUCAAAGGUUCUUCCUAAGGUUGUGCCAUGAUCUUUCUGUUUCUGUGAUAAUGUUUGUUCGAAGGUACCUGUAUAGGUGAGAGAGAUUCUUGUCCACUUGGAGCAUUUGUAGAAACAGAUGCAGUCUUUAGUCUUGACGUAGUUCAUGGCCAUAUAAUGUUGCAGCCUUUUGUAUAAUCCUGGUUUUAUGAUUGUCUUACAGUUGAUAACAAGUGGAGCUAGUAUCCCCUCUGUGGAACUUAAGUAAUUUGUUUGGGGUUGUUUAUUGUUCUUUCUCUUUCCUGUCAAUUUUGCGACUUCUUCUUCCUCUUCACAGCAAGUAAUAGUGAACUCAAAUUGAAGAGUUGAAAUCCAAAGUGCUUGUAGAUAUGUUCCAAUGGUCCAUUGUUGAAAACUCAGGCCAAAAGUGGCAGCUUUCAAGCAUCUGUUUUCAAAAUCUAUCCAUCCACACACAUAUUGCACCAGCGCGUGGCCGCUGACUGAAACAAAACAAGUAACUUUUGUGAGUGGUGGUGAGAAAAGUUCGCUUAUCUUAGUUUUGGCAAGUAUGAUGCAAUAUGGAUCAAUUUUAUGUGUGCAUGUGUGCUUGAGUACCUUCUCGUGAUACCCUCCGAGAUUUUCCACUCUCUGAAAUAACAGACUAUGUAACACUAGAUCGCUCACAGGGGAAGAGAGAAGGACUGGGGGGAACGGAAUGAAAUGAAACUUUUCAAAGCCGAAGUCGCCUAAGAUCUUGUUCUUAAAGAUAAGAUCAUUGUAUAUGACUUGGCUCGCAAAAGAAUUGGAUGGGCAGAUUAUGAUUGUUCAUCACCUGUGAAUGUUUCUACAACCUCUGGCAAGGAUGAA